CGUCACUCAGUCUCACGCUCAGUCUCUCUGCCUCUCCAGUCCAGUCCUCACCGUCACUCUCUCUCUCUCUCAGAGCUCUCCAGUCUCCGCCUCUCCUCACCGUCACUCUCUCCAGUCUCCGCCUCUACUCGCCGUCGUUUCCGCCCUCCAAAUCGCCGAUCGCGUUUACAACCUCGUCUACGCUAGGAAAUUUCAUUAACAUGGUGCCCUUGGAAUAGUAUAACAACAAGAUUUUCUCUUGCUGAGCAGCAAAAAUGGCUUUGGCUUCUUCUGUAAAAGUGGUUCUAGGCUCAAUUGCUUUUGCAAUCUUUUGGGUAUUGGCAGUUUUCCCAGCUGUUCCUUUUCUACCAAUUGGGAGGACUGCAUAUGAUGUAAUUGAUCUUCAAAUCCUUGGUCUUCUCUUUGGGACCAUGGUUGUCAGUGUAUAUGGUUGUCAGUGAACAUGAUGAUACAAUGAAGGAGCUAUUUGUCAACUCAAAGUUAUAAAAUUCUUAUGCUUUCUUCUCUUA